rnacentral:rRNA from 1 species
GAUGAACGCUGGCGGCGUGCUUAACACAUGCAAGUCGAACGGAAAGGCCCAAGCUUGCUUGGGUACUCGAGUGGCGAACGGGUGAGUAACACGUGGGUGAUCUGCCCUGCACUUCGGGAUAAGCCUGGGAAACUGGGUCUAAUACUGGAUAGGACCACUUCUUGGAUGGUGUGGUGGAAAGUUUUUUCGGUGUGGGAUGAGCUCGCGGCCUAUCAGCUUGUUGGUGGGGUAAUGGCCUACCAAGGCGUCGACGGGUAGCCGGCCUGAGAGGGUGUACGGCCACAUUGGGACUGAGAUACGGCCCAGACUCCUACGGGAGGCAGCAGGGGGGAAUAUUGCACAAUGGGCGCAAGCCUGAUGCAGCGACGCCGCGUGGGGGAUGACGGCCUUCGGGUUGUAAACUCCUUUCGCUAGGGACGAAGCGUUUUUGUGACGGUACCUGGAGAAGAAGCACCGGCUAACUACGUG